AUUGAACGCUGGCGGCAGGCCUAACACAUGCAAGUCGAACGAGUGGCGGACUGGUGAGUAAUGUCUGGGAACCUGCCUGAUGGAGGGGGCUGAGUACGGGAAACGGUAGAUAAUGCCGCAUACCAUCAGAUGUGCCCAGAUGGGUUUAGGUAGUUGGUGGGGUAAAGGCUCACCAAGGCGACGAUCCCUAGCGGGCCUGAGAGGCUGACCGGCCACACUGGAACUGAGACACGGCCCAGACUCCUACGGGAGGCAGCAGUGGGGAAUAUUGGGCAAUGGGCGAAAGUCUGACGCAGCCAUGCCGCGUGUAUGAAGAAGGUUUUCGGGUCGUAAAGUUCUGUCAGCGGGGAAGCGUUACCCGAAGAGAAAGCACCGGCUAACUCCGUGCCAGCAGCCGCGGUAAUAC
rnacentral:rRNA from 1 species